rnacentral:misc_RNA from 1 species
UCAAACUUGGUCAUUUAGAGGAAGUAAAAGUCGUAACAAGGUUUCCGUAGGUGAACCUGCGGAAGGAUCAUUAUUGAGUUAGGGUCCUCUGGGCCCGACCUCCAACCCUUUGUUUAACUACCUUGUUGCUUUGGCAGGACAGCCGAUCGGCGGUCUCAGGUCCAUUCCUUAACGGAUGAGAUUGAAGACUUGCGUCUGCCAGUAGCCCAUUUAAAAUUGUUUUUUAACAAACUGUUGUCUGAAUUAGCGAAGAAAAUAAGCAAAACUUUCAACAACGGAUCUCUUGGUUCUGGCAUCGAUGAAGAACGCAGC